UCUCUUACCUGCCUCUAAAAGAUGAGGUCCA
rnacentral:piRNA from 1 species